UGACAUGUUGUAUCAUGUGUGCACACGGACUAUUUUCUCAAACAGAAGAAUAAACUCUAAUAGACAGCCAAUGAAGGGGAUGGAGCUUCUGGACAUCAAUGUUAGGAUUUUGGAAGAAGCAGGAACUCCACCAAUGAACAUAUGAAAUCCAAAGCGUUUAGUGGGAGUCAAAUACCGUCUGCAGGAGCAUCAGACACGGCACAGCCCCAGCACCUUAAUCCUUGACAGUGAGAAGCGCAUGUAAGAUGAGCCUGAUUCGCUGAGACCAGCACUGAUCAGCAGAACAAAGCUCCCCUGCUUUCAUCAAUGAGACUGACACAGGGAUGAGAUGUAUGUGACAGAGGGACAUUAUGGAGAAAAUGCUAAUUGUCCUGUGAAGUCAGGAAUUGGAAUUUCUACAGUACAGUAACAAAUAAUAAUCAAUUUACAUAAUACAUUUUCCUAUCCUUGUUGUGGUGACUGCAAGUUUCAUUCCAUGCGACAGCUGCUUUCAUAUUCUCAUAUACAGUAAGCAAAGAAGUGUGCAGUCCAUCAGACUACCUAAAGAACAAUCUCUGCAAAGAUAAAUAUUGCUAGAUAGCAGGGCUUCUACCUAAAAACAGUUAUUACCUCCACACUGAUCAUACUGGAAGC